rnacentral:rRNA from 1 species
AGUGAACGCUGGCGGUAGGCCUAACACAUGCAAGUCGAACGGCAGCACAGUAAGAGCUUGCUCUUACGGGUGGCGAGUGGCGGACGGGUGAGGAAUACAUCGGAAUCUACUUUUUCGUGGGGGAUAACGUAGGGAAACUUACGCUAAUACCGCAUACGACCUACGGGUGAAAGCAGGGGAUCUUCGGACCUUGCGCGAUUGAAUGAGCCGAUGUCGGAUUAGCUAGUUGGCGGGGUAAAGGCCCACCAAGGCGACGAUCCGUAGCUGGUCUGAGAGGAUGAUCAGCUACACUGGAACUGGGACACGGUCCAGACUCCUACGGGAGGCAGCAGUGGGGAAUAUUGGACAAUGGGCGCAAGCCUGAUCCAGCCAUACCGCGUGGGUGAAGAAGGCCUUCGGGUUGUAAAGCCCUUUUGUUGGGAAAGAAAAGCAGCAGGUUAAUACCCCGCUGUUCUGACGGUACCCAAAGAAUAAGCACCGGCUAACUUCGUG